rnacentral:rRNA from 1 species
GAUGAGGAGCGAAAUUAAAGUAGCGAAGGCUGCGACGUCACACUGCCGAGAAAAGCUUCUAGCCAGAGACGGUGCACCCGUACCGCAAACCGACACAGGUAGUCGAGGAGAGUAUCCUCAGGUGAGCGAGAGAACUCUCGUUAAGGAACUCGGCAAAAUGGCCCCGUAACUUCGGGAGAAGGGGCGCUGGUCGCAAGAUCAGCCGCAGUGAAAAGGCCCAAGCAACUGUUUAUCAAAAACACAGGCAUCUGCAAAAUCGUAAGAUGAAGUAUAGGUGCUGACACCUGCCCGGUGCUGGAAGGUUAAGAGGAGAGCUUAGCGCAAGCGAAGGUUUGAAUUGAAGCCCCAGUAAACGGCGGCCGUAACUAUAACGGUCCUAAGGUAGCGAAAUUCCUUGUCGGGUAAGUUCCGACCUGCACGAAAGGUGUAAUGAUUUGGGCACUGUCUCAACGAGAGACUCGGUGAAAUUAUAAUACCCGUGAAGAUGCGGGUUACCCGCGACAGGACGGAAAGACCCCAUGGAGCUUUACUGCAGUUUAAUAUUGGGUAUCUGUCAAGCAUGUACAGGAUAGGUAGGAGCCGGAGAAGAUAGGACGCCAGUCUUAUC